rnacentral:piRNA from 1 species
UGAGGUUGGUGUACUGUGUGUG